AUGAAAGUGGCUUCAUAGGAUGAUCCUUUUGUGAAUUAAGUUUGUUGGUAGAGCUCUAAUUCUUGUAGGAUUUACCUGUCAUCAGCUGGCCCAUUAUUAAACACAAUUUUGCCUGCCUACAUUAAAUUCUAAGUUAUAUUAAACAUUAUUCAUUGAGACUAAGUACUUUUUUCAUAAAAGAAAACUUAAUACUUGAGAGUACCUUUUAAUAUUGGGAACCUUUCCCCAUCCCCUAAUGCUCUGACAGCAUCUUCUCUAUUGCAGGUACGCUAACAAUAAGCCCAAUUGAAAUGUCAGCACUUAGCAGCAGCUCAACAAGGGCUCUUGCAGAAUCGUUCCUGAUCCUGAUUCAGCAGUCAUGUAGCUUUUCCUGCCUGUAUGGAACAUGGCUGGCUAAGAUGGCGGCAAGAGAGAACAGCGGAAGAUGGGGGGACAGAACCUCUACAGAUGGACAAACCAACAAGGAUGAAGUAAGGACUAAACAUGGAACUGCUGCCAGCUUUUGGAAUGAAGCUUGUGCCAAACUCUGUGUUGUUGCUGAUUUUCACAUGAUGGAUGUGGAAACGCCUGGUUUUGUCAGAGCUGGCUUUGCUGAAGAUGCCUUGCAGGACUGCAGAAGGGGAAACCCAGCUCUCCUCCAGCUCAACUCUGUUGCAUCUGGUACAGCUGAAACCAUACCAAAGGAAGGACAUGUCCAAAGCCCUCUCUUGGGAGGAGGCUGAUGAGUGUCAUGAAAUGGCUGCUGGCAGACCUCUUUGCUUGUGAACACUGUGGCUCUGGACAGAUGGAUAUCACAUCUUGACUGCUUCUGGGAUGUUCCAAAGUCUUCAGUUCAGAAGCCCCCUGAGCCCAGGGCUGCGUGCUACACCGAAAUGUUCAAUCCUGCAUUUGAAUAAGCUGAAUCAAGCCAGCCAUACUGCUAAACAUAUGCAUGGAGGCUUCUUACAUAAACGAACGUUGCCCUGAAGCACUUGUAGUGCAGUUGUUACUGCCUUGUGUUAAUGGAGAAGGACCCCAAAGAGAAUGGAGUGUAAGGUAUCUUGGAGGCUAGAUGAGAG
rnacentral:lncRNA from 1 species